rnacentral:rRNA from 1 species
AGAGUUUGAUCAUGGGCUCAGAACGAACGCUGGCGGCAGGCUUAACACAUGCAAGUCGAACGGGCGUAGCAAUACGUCAGUGGCAGACGGGUGAGUAACACGUGGGAACCUUCCUAGGGGUACGGAACAACUCAGGGAAACUUGAGCUAAUACCGUAUACGUCCGUGAGGAGAAAGAUUUAUCGCCCUUAGACGGGCCCGCGUCGGAUUAGCUAGUUGGUGGGGUAACGGCCUGCCAAGGCGACGAUCCGUAGCUGAUCUGAGAGGAUGAUCAGCCACACUGGGACUGAGACACGGCCCAGACUCCUACGGGAGGCAGCAGUGGGGAAUCUUGGACAAUGGGCGCAAGCCUGAUCCAGCCAUGCCGCGUGAGUGAAGAAGGCCUUCGGGUUGUAAAGCUCUUUUGUCAGGGACGAUAAUGACGGUACCUGAAGAAUAAGCCCCGGCAAACUUCGUG